GACGAACGCUGUCGGCGUGCUUAACACAUGCAAGUCGAACGGAAAGGCCCUGCUUUUGUGGGGUGCUCGAGUGGCGAACGGGUGAGUAACACGUGAGUAACCUGCCCUUGACUUUGGGAUAACUUCAGGAAACUGGGGCUAAUACCGGAUAGGAGCUCCUGCUGCAUGGUGGGGGUUGGAAAGUUUCGGCGGUUGGGGAUGGACUCGCGGCUUAUCAGCUUGUUGGUGGGGUAGUGGCUUACCAAGGCUUUGACGGGUAGCCGGCCUGAGAGGGUGACCGGCCACAUUGGGACUGAGAUACGGCCCAGACUCCUACGGGAGGCAGCAGUGGGGAAUAUUGCACAAUGGGCGGAAGCCUGAUGCAGCAACGCCGCGUGCGGGAUGACGGCCUUCGGGUUGUAAACCGCUUUCGCCUGUGACGAAGCGUGAGUGACGGUAAUGGGUGAAGAAGCACCGGCUAACUACGUGCCAGCAGCCGCGGUGAUACGUAGGGUGCGAGCGUUGUCCGGAUUUAUUGGGCGUAAAGGGCUCGUAGGUGGUUGAUCGCGUCGGAAGUGUAAUCUUGGGGCUUAACCCUGAGCGUGCUUUCGAUACGGGUUGACUUGAGGAAGGUAGGGGAGAAUGGAAUUCCUGGUGGAGCGGUGGAAUGCGCAGAUAUCAGGAGGAACACCAGUGGCGAAGGCGGUUCUCUGGGCCUUUCCUGACGCUGAGGAGCGAAAGCGUGGGGAGCGAACAGGCUUAGAUACCCUGGUAGUCCACGCUGUAAACGGUGGGUACUAGGUGUGGGGUCCAUUCCACGGGUUCCGUGCCGUAGCUAACGCUUUAAGUACCCCGCCUGGGGAGUACGGCCGCAAGGCUAAAACUCAAAGGAAUUGACGGGGCCCCGCACAAGCGGCGGAGCAUGCGGAUUAAUUCGAUGCAACGCGUAGAACCUUACCUGGGUUUGACAUGGAUCGGGAGUGCUCAGAGAUGGGUGUGCCUCUUUUGGGGUCGGUUCACAGGUGGUGCAUGGCUGUCGUCAGCUCGUGUCGUGAGAUGUUGGGUUAAGUCCCGCAACGAGCGCAACCCUUGUUCACUGUUGCCAGCACGUUAUGGUGGGGACUCAGUGGAGACCGCCGGGGUCAACUCGGAGGAAGGUGGGGAUGACGUCAAGUCAUCAUGCCCCUUAUGUCCAGGGCUUCACGCAUGCUACAAUGGCUGGUACAGAGAGUGGCGAGCCUGUGAGGGUGAGCGAAUCUCGGAAAGCCGGUCUCAGUUCGGAUUGGGGUCUGCAACCCGACCUCAUGAAGUCGGAGUCGCUAGUAAUCGCAGAUCAGCAACGCUGCGGUGAAUACGUUCCCGGGGCU
rnacentral:rRNA from 1 species